GCCAUUUUGGCUUAGUGGAUAGAGCAUUGGCCUGUGGACCAAAGGGCCCCGGGUUCAAUUCCGGUCAAGGGCA
rfam:Myotis davidii contig72494, whole genome shotgun sequence.